UCAAACACUCUCCGGUCAAUAAACAACAGCGGGACCUCGAUGUCCAUAUUGGCUCCUACAUAUUCUACGAAUAUCUCUAUCGGUUGAACCUCUAUGUCAAGGAUUCAAACAAUCUCGUAUACUAUUCCCUUUGUCCUUCGUUAUGUUACUUGCCCGAGAUUCGAUCGUCGGUAUCAUCAUACCUAGUUCCAUCUCGUUACCGAUAACUCUCUUUACUCGUUCCGUAAUACAAGAUCCCGUA
rnacentral:lncRNA from 1 species